GGCGGGGUAGCCAAGUGGUAAGGCAGGGGACUGCAAAUCCCUUAUCCCGGGUUCGAUUCCCGGUCCCGCCU
rnacentral:tRNA from 1 species